GCUGUGGCCCAGUGGUAAGUGCGCCUUGACUCAUAGGCAAGCGGUUGCAGGAUCAAACCCAACCACCGCC
rnacentral:tRNA from 1 species